rnacentral:rRNA from 1 species
AGCAGUCGCGCGGUAAUACAGAGGGUGCGAGCGUUAAUCGGAUUUACUGGGCGUAAAGCGUGCGUAGGCGGCUUCUUAAGUCGGAUGUGAAAUCCCUGAGCUUAACUUAGGAAUUGCAUUCGAUACUGGGAAGCUAGAGUAUGGGAGAGGAUGGUAGAAUUCCAGGUGUAGCGGUGAAAUGCGUAGAGAUCUGGAGGAAUACCGAUGGCGAAGGCAGCCAUCUGGCCUAAUACUGACGCUGAGGUACGAAAGCAUGGGGAGCAAACAGGAUUAGAUACCCCCGUAGUCCCUGUCUCUUAUACA